rnacentral:rRNA from 1 species
UACAGAGGGGGCAAGCGUUAUUCGGAAUUAUUGGGCGUAAAGGGCGCGUAGGCGGCCUGGCAAGUGGAUGGUGAAAUCCCUCGGCUUAACCGAGGAACUGCCAUCCAGACUGCUUGGCUUGAGACCGGGAGAGGUGAGUGGAAUUCCCAGUGUAGCGGUGAAAUGCGUAGAUAUUGGGAGGAACACCAGUGGCGAAGGCGGCUCACUGGACCGGUACUGACGCUGAUGCGCGAAAGCGUGGGGAGCAAACAGGAUUAAGAAACCCUGG